rnacentral:rRNA from 1 species
AUUGAACGCUGGCGGCAGGCCUAACACAUGCAAGUCGAGCGGGGACUUCGGUCCUAGCGGCGAACGGGUGAGAAAUGCUUGGUAAUCUGCCCAGUAGCGGGGGAUAACGUCCCGAAAGGGACGCUAAUACCGCAUACGUCCUACGGGAGAAAGUGGGGGAUCUUCGGACCUCUCGCUAUUGUAUGAGCCCAAGUCGGAUGAGCUAGUUGGUAGGGUAAUGGCCUACCAAGGCGACGAUCCGUAGCUGGUCUGAGAGGAUGAUCAGCCACACUGGAACUGAGACACGGUCCAGACUCCUACGGGAGGCAGCGGUGGGGAAUAUUGGACAAUGGGCGAAGGCCUGAACCAGCCAUGCCGCGUGUGUGAAGAAGGCCUUCGGGUUGUAAAGCACUUUAAGCGGGGAGGAAGGUUCGCGGCCUAAUACGUCGCGGAAUUGACGUUACCCGCAGAAUAAGCACCGGCUAACUCUGUG